AGAGUUUGAUUAUGGCUCAGGACGAACGCUGGCGGCGUGCCUAAUACAUGCAAGUAGAACGCUGAAGAGAGGAGCUUGCUCUUCUUGGAUGAGUUGCGAACGGGUGAGUAACGCGUAGGUAACCUGCCUUGUAGCGGGGGAUAACUAUUGGAAACGAUAGCUAAUACCGCAUAACAAUGGAUGACACAUGUCAUUUAUUUGAAAGGGGCAAUUGCUCCACUACAAGAUGGACCUGCGUUGUAUUAGCUAGUAGGUGAGGUAACGGCUCACCUAGGCGACGAUACAUAGCCGACCUGAGAGGGUGAUCGGCCACACUGGGACUGAGACACGGCCCAGACUCCUACGGGAGGCUGCAGUGGGGAAUAUUGCACAAUGGGGGAAACCCUGAUGCAGCAACGCCGCGUGAGUGAUGAAGGGUUUUCGGAUCGUAAAGCUCUGUUGUAAGAGAAGAACGAGUGUGAGAGUGGAAAGUUCACACUGUGACGGUAGCUUACCAGAAAGGGACGGCUAACUACGUGCCAGCAGCCGCGGUAAUACGUAGGUCCCGAGCGUUGUCCGGAUUUAUUGGGCGUAAAGCGAGCGCAGGCGGUUUGAUAAGUCUGAAGUUAAAGGCUGUGGCUCAACCAUAGUUCGCUUUGGAAACUGUCAAACUUGAGUGCAGAAGGGGAGAGUGGAAUUCCAUGUGUAGCGGUGAAAUGCGUAGAUAUAUGGAGGAACACCGGUGGCGAAAGCGGCUCUCUGGUCUGUAACUGACGCUGAGGCUCGAAAGCGUGGGGAGCGAACAGGAUUAGAUACCCUGGUAGUCCACGCCGUAAACGAUGAGUGCUAGGUGUUGGAUCCUUUCCGGGAUUCAGUGCCGCAGCUAACGCAUUAAGCACUCCGCCUGGGGAGUACGACCGCAAGGUUGAAACUCAAAGGAAUUGACGGGGGCCCGCACAAGCGGUGGAGCAUGUGGUUUAAUUCGAAGCAACGCGAAGAACCUUACCAGGUCUUGACAUCCCGAUGCUAUUUCUAGAGAUAGAAAGUUACUUCGGUACAUCGGUGACAGGUGGUGCAUGGUUGUCGUCAGCUCGUGCUGUGAGAUGUUGGGUUAAGUCCCGCAACGAGCGCAACCCCUAUUGUUAGUUGCCAUCAUUCAGUUGGGCACUCUAGCGAGACUGCCGGUAAUAAACCGGAGGAAGGUGGGGAUGACGUCAAAUCAUCAUGCCCCUUAUGACCUGGGCUACACACGUGCUACAAUGGUUGGUACAACGAGUUGCGAGUCGGUGACGGCAAGCUAAUCUCUUAAAGCCAAUCUCAGUUCGGAUUGUAGGCUGCAACUCGCCUACAUGAAGUCGGAAUCGCUAGUAAUCGCGGAUCAGCACGCCGCGGUGAAUACGUUCCCGGGCCUUGUACACACCGCCCGUCACACCACGAGAGUUUGUAACACCCGAAGUCGGUGAGGUAACCUUUUGGAGCCAGCCGCCUAAGGUGGGAUAGAUGAUUGGGGUGAAGUCGUAAACAAGGUAGCCGUAA
rnacentral:rRNA from 1 species